GGCGAAUGUACAACAGCAUCCGAGCAGCACCUAUGUUAUUCUCACUAAACUAAACACCCACUGUGCCUUAUUUUGGUGACUGGUGUUUUUGGAGGGGUUAGUUUUUUCACAACACAAUGUCCAUUAAAAGUGUUUACUUUGCAGACUCUCGUUGUAAUAAUACGGUGCACAGAGUUAGUCAGACUUUGGACUCUGGCACAUUUUUCAACCAAAUAUAAUGAACCAAACGAUAAUGAAGAGUUGGACCUUUGCCAGUACAAGUCAAAAAAUCGUUUUAGUGGAAAACGCUCCAACAGUGUCCCGUCUGGAAGAGCAGAGUGUGUCUGAAAACGGAGGUAACAACAUCGCCCCAGAAGUAGGUUCCCGGAAAUGGCGGACGGACAUUAAUACAUAACUUCUCACAUAAUCACAUGGUGAUUAAUGCGCAACUCUAUUUUCCCAGUCCCGCCCACAUUGUAUACUAUUGCCUUCAUAUCUAAAGGCACAGAGGAGCAUAAAGAAACUGUUGUUUGUCAAUUCCAAGUGAUAGACUUAACAGAAAUGUAAAUGGACCCUGGGAUAUCGAACCUUCAAAUCAUGUAUUAUGCGAACGGUAUCGUCAACAUGUUUAGUUAAGACCUAAAACUCGAAAUGGCUAAAUCUGUAAUAUAGCCAAAAUUAAAAAAUUGGCAGAGCUUGUAUUUGUGCACAAUGUUUUAAAUGUUCUGUUUGACCACAUAUUUAAGGUCGACCCCCAUCCCUCGACAGAUCAUUGCGUGUUAGAGCUACUGAUUUACUCUCAGAAUAUUAACAUUAAAGAUUCGGGUGUGUUUUUUGUCCAUAAUUGGUGAUAAUUAAAAUUAAUUGACCAAACAA